rnacentral:rRNA from 1 species
GGCUACCUACGGGGGGCAGCAGUGAGGAAUAUUGGUCAAUGGGCGAGAGCCUGAACCAGCCAAGUCGCGUGAGGGAAGACGGUCCUAUGGAUUGUAAACCUCUUUUGCCGGGGAGCAAAAAGCGGUACGUGUACCGCAUCGAGAGUACCCGGAGAAAAAGCAUCGGCUAACUCCGUGCCAGCAGCCGCGGUAAUACGGAGGAUGCGAGCGUUAUCCGGAUUUACUGGGUGUAAAGGGGGCGCAGACGGCGAUGCAAGCCAGGAGUGAAAGCCCGGGGCCCAACCCCGGGACUGCUCUUGGAACUG